rnacentral:rRNA from 1 species
ACUCCUACGGGAGGCAGCAGUGAGGAAUAUUGGUCAAUGGGCGGAAGCCUGAACCAGCCAUGCCGCGUGAAGGAAUAAGGCCCUAUGGGUCGUAAACUUCUUUUGUGGUGGAGCAAUAAGACGUACGUGUACGUCGAUGAGAUUACAUCAUGAAUAAGCAUCGGCUAACUCCGUGCCAGCAGCCGCGGUAAU